UACGGAGGGUGCAAGCGUUAUCCGGAUUCACUGGGUUUAAAGGGUGCGUAGGUGGAUUAGUAAGUCAGUGGUGAAAUCUUUGGGCUUAACCCGAAAACUGCCAUUGAUACUAUUAGUCUUGAAUACCGUGGAGGUCAGCGGAAUAUGUCAUGUAGCGGUGAAAUGCUUAGAUAUGACAUAGAACACCAAUUGCGAAGGCAGCUGGCUACACGAAUAUUGACACUCAGGCACGAAAGCGUGGGGAUCAAACAGG
rnacentral:rRNA from 1 species